rnacentral:rRNA from 1 species
UACGUAGGUGGCAAGCGUUGUCCGGAUUUACUGGGCGUAAAGGGAGCGUAGGCGGAUACUUAAGUGGGAUGUGAAAUACCUGGGCUUAACUUGGGUGCUGCAUUCCAAACUGGGUGUCUAGAGUGUUGGAGAGGAAAGUGGAAUUCCUAGUGUAGCGGUGAAAUGCGUAGGGAUUAGGAAGAACACCAGUGGCGAAGGCGACUUUCUGGACAAUAGCUGACGCUGAGGCUCGAAAGCGUGGGGAGCAAACAGGAUUAGAUACCCUGGUAGUCCACGCCGUAAACGAUGGGUACUAGGUGUAGGAGGUAUCGACUCCUCCGGUGCCGCCGUUAACACAAUAAGUACCCCGCCUGGGGAGUACGGUCGCAAGAUUAAA